AUGGGGUUCAGAGAUCUACACCGUUUUAACUUGGCACUCUUGGCCAAACAAUGCUGGAGACUAAUAGCUGAACCGGAAUCACUAUGUGCUAGAAUACUCAAAGCUAAGUACUUUCCAGAUGGGGACAUCCUAAAUUGCAGCCUCAAAAAAGGGAGUUCAUACACUUGGCAGAGUUUAUGGAGUGGUAUCCAAACUUUCAAAAAAGGGUACAUUUGGAGGGUGGGAGACGGCACCCAAAUCAGCAUAUGGGAUGACCCAUGGGUUCCUAGCAGCCCAAACAGAAGAGUUAUGACAAGGAGAGGUAAUAUAAUCAUCACCAAAGUUUCUGAGCUAAUUAACUUGGAGAGUAGAGAAUGGGACGAACAACUAAUCAGAGAUAUAUUCUGGCCCGUUGAUGCUCAAAGAAUUCUGAACAUACCCCUUGCCUUGGGUAUGAUGGAGGAUUUCGUUUCAUGGAAUUAUAACCGGACAGGGAUAUUCACGGUUAAGACC
rnacentral:rRNA from 1 species